rnacentral:rRNA from 1 species
AACGCGAAGAACCUUACCUGGGCUCGAAAUAUAGGGGACGAUAUCAGAGAUGAUAUUUCCCGUAAGGGUCCUUAUAUAGGUGCUGCAUGGCUGUCGUCAGCUCGUGCCGUGAGGUGUUUGGUUAAGUCCAGCAACGAGCGCAACCCUUAUCGUUAGUUGCCAGCGCGUCAAGGCGGGAACUCUAACGAGACUGCCUGGGUUAACCAGGAGGAAGGUGAGGAUGACGUCAAGUCCGCAUGGCCUUUAUGUCCAGGGCUACACACGUGCUACAAUGGUCGGUACAGAAGGCUGCGAAACCGCGAGGCGGAGCAAAUCCUAUAAAACCGAUCUCAGUUCAGAUUGUAGUCUGCAACUCGGCUACAUGAAGUUGGAAUUGCUAGUAAUGGCGUGUCAGCAACAACGCCGUGAAUACGUUCCCGGGCCUUGUA